rnacentral:rRNA from 1 species
UACGAAGGGGGCUAGCGUUGCUCGGAAUUACUGGGCGUAAAGCGCACGUAGGCGGCUUGUUAAGUCAGGGGUGAAAUCCUGGAGCUCAACUCCAGAACUGCCUUUGAUACUGGCGAGCUUGAGUUCGGGAGAGGUGAGUGGAAUGCCGAGUGUAGAGGUGAAAUUCGUAGAUAUUCGGCGGAACACCAGUGGCGAAGGCGACUCACUGGCCCGAUACUGACGCUGAGGCGCGAAAGCCGUGGGGAGCAAACAGGG